ACCCUAGCUAGGCCGUUCACGAGGUUUUUCCUUUCUCGACUCCGUGUUGAAGCGGGUUACUGCCUGGCCCGGAUGGACUGGUGAAAUUGGUAAAAUUCACCCAAGUCAGCCGAUCCUAAGUUUCGCUAAUACGCCACCGAAAUGCCGGCCUAUUUUCAACGCCCGGAGAAUGCUCUCAAACGAGCAAACGAGUUCUUGGAGGUUGGCAAGAAGCAGCCAGCCUUGGAUGUUCUCUACGAUGUCAUCAAAAGCAAGAAGCAUCGAACAUGGCAGAAGAUCCACGAGCCCAUCAUGCUCAAGUACCUGGAGCUCUGCGUGGAUCUCCGCAAGAGCCACCUGGCGAAAGAGGGCCUGUACCAGUACAAGAACAUCUGCCAGCAGGUGAACAUCAAGUCUCUUGAGGAUGUGGUUAGGGCGUACCUGAAGCUCGCCGAGGAGAAGACUGAGACCGCCAAGGGGGAGUCCCAGCAGAUGGUUCUGGACAUCGAGGACCUGGACAACAUCCAGACCCCCGAGAGUGUGCUCCUGAGUGCGGUCAGUGGAGAGGACACCCAGGACCGUACCGACCGUCUGCUGCUCACCCCCUGGGUGAAGUUCCUGUGGGAGUCCUACAGGCAGUGUCUGGAUCUGCUGAGGAACAACUCCAAGGUGGAGCGCCUCUACCAUGACAUCGCCCAGCAAGCCUUCAAGUUCUGCCUGCAGUACACCCGCAAGGCUGAGUUCCGCAAGCUCUGCGACAACCUGCGCAUGCACCUGGGCCAGAUCCAGCGCCACCACAACCAGAGCACCGCCAUCAACCUCAACAACCCCGAGAGCCAGUCCAUGCACCUGGAGACCCGUCUGGUCCAGCUCGACAGCGCCAUCAGCAUGGAGCUGUGGCAGGAGGCCUUCAAGGCUGUGGAGGACAUCCACGGGCUCUUUGCUCUCUCCAAGAAGCCCCCAAAGCCCCAGCUGAUGGCCAACUACUACAACAAGGUGUCCACUGUCUUCUGGAAGUCGGGAAACGCUCUCUUCCACGCCUGCACCCUCCACCGCCUCUACCACCUCUCCCGGGAGAUGCGCAAGAAUCUCACCCAAGAGGAGAUGCAGAGGAUGUCCACCAGAGUCCUGCUGGCCACGCUGUCCAUCCCCAUCACCCCCGAGCGCACCGACAUCGCCCGGCUGCUGGACAUGGACGGCAUCAUCGUGGAGAAACACCGGCGUCUGGCCACCCUGCUGGGGCUGCAGUCCCCCCCCACCCGCCAGAGCCUCAUCAACGACAUGGUGCGGUUCAACCUGCUGCAGUACAUCCUACCAGAGGUCAAAGAGCUGUACAACUGGCUGGAGAUGGACUUCCACCCCCUGAAGCUGAGCGGAAGAGUCACCAAGGUGUUAGACUGGGUGAGGGACCAGGCCGAGAAGGAGUCGGACCUGCAGCAGUAUGUUCCUCAUCUGCAGAGUAACACCAUCCUCCGGCUCUUGCAGCAGGUGGCCCAGAUCUACCAGAGCAUCGAGUUCAGCCGCCUGGCCUCCCUGGUCCCCUUCGUGGACGCCUUCCAGCUGGAGCGCUCCAUCGUGGACGCCGCCCGCCACUGUGACCUGCAGGUUCGUAUCGACCACUCCACUCGAACUCUGCGCUUCGGGUCGGACCUGAACUACUCGACCAAAGAGGACUCCCCGGUCGGGCCCUUCCUGCAGAACAUGCCCUCGGCGCAGAUCCGGAACCAGCUCACCGCCAUGUCCUCCUCGCUAGCCAAGGCCAUCCAGAUCAUCAGGCCUGCCUCCAUCCUGACGGAGCGCGAGGAGCAGAGCCAGCUGGCCAUCGCCGCCUACCUGAAGAACGGCCGCAAGGACCACCAGCGCAUCCUGGCCCGCCGGCAGACCAUCGAGGAGCGCAAGGAGCGCCUGGAGAGCCUGAACAUCCAGAGGGAGAAGGAGGAGCUGGAGCAGCGCGAGGCGGAGCAGCAGAAGGUGCGCAAGGCGGAGGAGGAGCGCCUGCGGCAGGAGGCCAAGGAGCGCGAGAAGGAGCGCAUCAUGCAGGAGCACGAGCAGAUCAAGAAGAAGACGGUGCGGGAGCGCCUGGAGCAGAUCAAGAAGACGGAGCUGGGAGCCAAGGCCUUCAAGGACAUCGACAUCGAGGAUCUGGAGGAGCUGGACCCCGACUUCAUCAUGGCCAAGCAGGUGGAGCAGCUGGAGAAGGAGAAGAGGGAGCUGCAGGAGCGUCUGAAGAACCAGGAGAAGAAGAUCGACUACUUUGAGCGGGCCAAGCGACUGGAGGAGAUCCCCCUCAUCAAGCAGGCCUACGAAGAGCAGCGCAUCAAGGACAUGGAGCUGUGGGAGCUGCAGGAGGAGGAGCGGAUCAGCAACAUGAAGGUGGAGCGGGAGAAGGCUCUGGAGCACAAGCAGCGCAUGUCCAGGAUGAUGGAGGACAAGGAGAACUUUGUGUCCAAGAUCACCGCAGCACGCAGCUUCAUCUACGAGGAAAAACUCGCGGCAUUCCAGGAGCGCGUGGUGGAUGAGAAGAAGAAGCGGCUGGAAGACCGGAAGCGGCAACGCAAGGACGACCGCCGCACCGCCUACUACCGGCAGAAGGAGGAGGAGGCCCAGCGCAUCCACGAGGAGUCUCUGAAGAAAGAACGGGAGGAGCUUGAGCGCAUCGAGCAGGAGCAGCGCGAGGAGGAGGAGCGCGAGUACCAGGAGAAGCUGCAGAAGCUGGAGGAGCAGGAGAGGAAGCAGCGCGCUCGCCAGCAGGAGAUCGAGGAGCGGGAGAGCCGGCGCGAGGAGGAGCGCCGCGUUCCGGAGGAGAAGCCCGCCACCAAGCAGGACUGGGGUGACAAAGAGGAGAGCGCCAGCACGGCCGCCGGCGGUGGUGGCGGCGGCGGAGGAUGGAGGAAGCGCACGGAGGCGGCGGGCGGCGGCGGCGGGGGCGGAGACUCGGAGUGGCGCCGAGGGGCCCCUGACAGGGAGAGGAAGCCGGAGGGCCGUGACGAGGAGCGGGAGGACCGCCCCCUGCGCCGCGCCGCCGCUGACGACCGCGGGCUGCGCCGCGCCUUCGACGACGAGCGGACGAUGCGCCGCGGCGCCGACGAGGAGCGGGCGCCGCCGCCGCGCAGGGCGGUGGACGAGGAGCGCGGGCCCUGGAGGGCCGCGGCCGCGGCGGAGGAGGACCGCCCCGCCAGGAGGGCCUUCGACGACGACCGCCCCCCCCGCCGGGGGGCCUUCGAGGACGACCGGGGCCCCCCCCGCCGCGGAGCCGAGGACUCCAGGCCCCGCCGGGAUGACGACUGGGGCCCCCGCAGGGGCGCCGACGAGGAGCGGGGCGGCAGGAGGGGCGGGGACGACGGGCCGCGGCGGGGCGCGGACGACGGCACGCCCUGGAAGCCCCUGGGGAAACCUGUUGUACCAUCAGGAGGAGGCUGGCGGGAGCGGGAGAAGGCCCGGGAGGAGAGCUGGGGACCGCCGCGCGACGGUGGCGCUGACGACACCGCGGAGGCUGAGGAGAAGCCCAGAGAGCGCCGCCCACCUCCACCAAGAGAGGAGGCCAGUGCCUGGAGGAGGGGGGGCACGGAGGAGACCAGCAGCUGGAGGGGCCGCACCGAGGAGCCGGAGCGCGAGGAACGCCAGGAACGCCGCGUCAUCGAGCCACGCCGCGAUGAGCCGCGCCGGGAGCGCGAGACGAGGCCGGCGCCCAGAGACGACGAAGGGAGCCUGUGGCGGCGCGGCGGAGACGACAAGCGGGAGGAGCGCGAGAAGCCCAGGGAGCGCGAGGUGGUGCGAGAGGCCGAGGGGGAGAAGGCGGCCUGGCGUAGCAGCGCCGCGCCGGCCGCCGCCGUCGCCCCGGCCGCCGCCGCCGCUCCUGCCGCCGUCGCCGCCCCCGCUGCCGCUGCGCCCCCCCCCGCCGAGAAGGAGCCCCAGCGCCCCGUCAAGAAGGAAGAGGCCCCCGAGGACGAUGACGGCUGGACCACCGUCCGCCGCUGAGCCACUGAGCCACAGGGCGGCCGGUCGCUGCUCACAGACGACCCCCCCUGGCCCCCCCGGGGCCCCCCGUGGACCCCAGGGGCCCGCGGGCACACUGGUGGCAAAGCUUUUGUACAACCCCAUUCUCAUUAUGAUUACUUUGAGUGGUACAAUUAUUAUAGGCAUUAGUAAUUCCAGAUGUUUUUCUUUGAUUUCUCUCUCAAUAUAUAUAUCUAUAAAUAUAUAUAUAUAUAUAAUAAGCAGAUGAUGAAGAGUGCAAGUUUCAGCUUUCCUGUGAGGAUAUGGUUGUGCAACCCGCCAUUACAUCAGUUGCUUCACCUGUGAGUUUGUAGCUGAGUGGCCAAUCUUGUCUGUGGCUGACUGCCCCCGGUGUGUUGGAGUGUCAUUGCGCAGAAUGAUUAUUUAAUUGGAUCAAAAUACACCACACAUCGAAAUUGCAUUGUACCUCUAUAAUGGUUUAACUUGUUUCCACUAUGGACCUGUUACAACUGUGGACUUGUAGUACCUUUCUGGUGAUGGAAUAAAUACAACGCCAAGUUUCUAAUCUGAAUUAGUAUAUUGCCUUGUCAUCUUGUGAACUUCAUAAACUCUUUAACUGGGAUUUCCAUUUUGAUGUGCAUGGUUAGACUAUAAAAUAACUCUCCAAAUCCGUGGAUUGGUUCAAUCUUGUAGCAUUCAACUGUAUGACAAGAGAUUGAAUGUGUACAUGAUGAAGCCUUUAUUAAUAAAGCGGUUUGCUCACCAA